rnacentral:rRNA from 1 species
CCUACGGGAGGCAGCAGUGAGGAAUAUUGGUCAAUGGUCGGGAGACUGAACCAGCCAAGCCGCGUGAGGGAUGAAGGUACAGAGUAUCGUAAACCUCUUUUGUCAGGGAACAAAGGCGGGGACGUGUCCCCGGAUGAGUGUACCUGAAGAAAAAGCAUCGGCUAACUCCGUGCCAGCAGCCGCGGUAAUACGGAGGAUGCUAGCGUUAUCCGGAUUUAUUGGGUUUAAAGGGUGCGCAGGCGGUUUGUUAAGUCAGCGGUCAAAGCCCGGGGCUCAACCCCGGCCCGCCGUUGAAACUGGCAGUCUAGAGUUGGAGAGAAGUAUGCGGAAUGCGCGGUGUAGCGGUGAAAUGCAUAGAUAUCGCGCAGAACUCCGAUUGCGAAGGCAGCAUGCCGGCUCCACGCUGACGCUGAGGCACGAAAGCGUGGGUAUCGAACAGGAUUAGAUACCCCUGUAGUC